rnacentral:tRNA from 1 species
GGCCGGCAUAGCUCAGUUGGUAGAGCACCUGAUUUGUAAUCAGGAGACUACGCAAUAAAAUCAACGAGUUAACUGCAAACCGGCCA